rnacentral:rRNA from 1 species
GUGGGGAAUCUUAGACAAUGGGCGCAAGCCUGAUCUAGCCAUGCCGCGUGAGCGAUGAAGGCCUUAGGGUUGUAAAGCUCUUUCAGUGGGGAAGAUAAUGACUGUACCCACAGAAGAAGCCCCGGCUAACUCCGUGCCAGCAGCCGCGGUAAUACGGAGGGGGCUAGCGUUGUUCGGAAUUACUGGGCGUAAAGCGCACGUAGGCGGACUGGAAAGUCAGGGGUGAAAUCCCGGGGCUCAACCCCGGAACUGCCUUUGAAACUCCCAGUCUUGAGGGCGAGAGAGGUGAGUGGAAUUCCGAGUGUAGAGGUGAAAUUCGUAGAUAUUCGGAGGAACACCAGUGGCGAAGGCGGCUCACUGGCUCGAUACUGACGCUGAGGUGCGAAAGCGUGGGGAGCAAACAGGAUUAGAAACCCGUGUAGUCC